AUAAAAUGAUAUGGAGACAAUGAUUAUUUAUAAAUUGUGUUCUAUCCUUAUAACUGCAUUAGGAGGUCCUGGAAAAGAGUAGGGUGGUCAGGAAAGCCACCUGCUAAGAAUUCAUCUGCAGUUGGAAAAGGCCUCUGCCACACAGCAGUCAGUCACCUACAAUGAAUGUUACCUUGUCACUGUCGAAGUGCUCCAAAUCGCAUAAUAUCGACUCAUUUUCAGAAUCAGAGAAGCCUCAGUAAAUUGAAAAGGAACCAACUUGAUGAUGAUGAAGUACAGCACUAAAAAAUGAUGGAAUGUUAAAAC
rnacentral:lncRNA from 1 species